UUUCCGUAGGUGAACCUGCGGAAGGAUCAUUGCACACACGAUGCAGCAAACUAGCGAACUGUGUUUGUCCCCCACCUACCCCAAACACGAGGGGCCGCAUCUGGAGGUGCGGCUGUCGACGGCAAGGUCCCGACCUUCGGGUCCCCGCAGUGGUUCCCGCAGGCGGGCUGAUCAUGUCGCCGUCUGGGUGUCCCGCGCGGGCUCUCGCCUUGCCUUAGGGUUGGGCGACGCGGGCAUUCUCCUCCCUUCGAUGGCGUCGUCCCCUCCUCCGGGAGAGCGACACGCCUCGAGGGCCGUUUACAACUUGGCACCAUGUACAACACCAGUGACUGGGUAUACCUGUGUCCCGGUUACGCUGCUGCCCUCGGGUGGGGCGGGAUGGGUCCAUAGGAACAAGAGUAAAUAAAAACAACUCUCAGCAACGGAUAUCUUGGCUCUU
rnacentral:misc_RNA from 1 species